rnacentral:rRNA from 1 species
UACGAAGGGGCUAGCGUUGCUCGGAAUCACUGGGCGUAAAGGGUGCGUAGGCGGGUCUUUAAGUCAGGGUGAAAUCCUGGAGCUCAACUCCAGAACUGCCUUUGAUACUGAAGAUCUUGAGUUCGGGAGAGGUGAGUGGAACUGCGAGUGUAGAGGUGAAAUUCGUAGAUAUUCGCAAGAACACCAGUGGCGAAGGCGGCUCACUGGCCCGAUACUGACGCUGAGGCACGAAAGCGUGGGGAG